UCCCUUGUGGCUCAAUGGUAAAGAAUCUGCCUGCAAUGCAGGAAAUCCAGGUUUGAUCCCUGGGUUGGGAA
rnacentral:tRNA from 1 species